UGUAAGCGUAUACCAAAGUUGUUGCAGUUAAAACGCUCGUAGUCGAAUUUUGGUGUGAGUUAUGGAGACUCCUACUGGAUGUUGAAGUAACUUCGCCUUUGUGGAGGGGGGUGUGGUGGUACUUUAUUGUAUUGCUGCAUUUCCGCCACUGUUUACUGUGAAAAAAUUAGAGUGUUCAAAGCGAGCGUUUGCCAUGAAUACAUUAGCAUGGAAUAAUAGAAUAGGACCUGGUUCUGUUUUAUUGGUUUGUCUGUAUCAGGCAAUGAUUAACAGGGACGGUCGGGGGUAUUUGUAUUCCAGCGUUAGAGGUGAAAUUCUUGGAUCGCUGGAAGACAGACAGCUGCGAAAGCGUCUACCAAGGACGUUUUCAUUG
rnacentral:rRNA from 1 species